CACUCCCCCGCGGAGGAGUGUCUGAGUGCCAACACAGUGUCUAGCAAACAGUAGGCGCAGGAAACAUACGAGCAUGAAUGAAUGAGUAAGCGCGUGGUCCUGCGAGGGAGGAGUUUUAACCGCAUCUUUCCUUUGGAUCCCAGCAGGAUAUGAUGAGGGUACAAACGUUUCGUUACAUUUUAUGUCUUUGCCUCUCCCAAGCAAGGAUGAGAGGAGUUGAGGCAUGGUGGACAAAAAGGAGAAAGAACUGAGGGUGGACAGGAUAGAGGUGAGGCCAGGAGUCCCUGUCUGCAUUCAGGAUUACUGGCUGUGGUUUGGCCAAGCCUGACAAAUGCCACUGAGGAAGGUAACCGUGGCUCACGGUUUGACAUGUGGCCUGCCAGGCCCCAUGGAUGUGGAGG